rnacentral:lncRNA from 1 species
AUAACCUAAUUACAGAAAUCGCUUAAAUUUUACAAUUAUUUAGUUUAUGUAUAGCUUAUUUGAAAACAAUAAUAAAAAAUAUAGGUCACCGAUGAGUUAAAAAAGAUAUUUCAAAUUUAGUCCAAAAAAUGGCAUUUUUGCUCCAAAGGGAGAUAAUAUGGAGCUUUUUCAAUGAUAUAAACAUUUUAAAAGUCAUCUGGGGCC